rnacentral:rRNA from 1 species
AUUGAACGCUGGCGGCAGGCUUAACACAUGCAAGUCGAGCGAGCGGCGGACGGGUGAGUAAUGUCUGUGAAACUGCCUGACGGAGGGGGAUAACUACCGGAAACGGUAGCUAAUACCGCACACCAUCAGAUGUGUCCUGAUGGGUUUAGCUAGUGGGUGGGGUAAUGGCUCACCUAGCCGACGAUCCCUAGCUGGUCUGUGAGGAUGACCAGCCACACUGGAACUGAGACACGGUCCAGACUAAUACGGGAGGCAGCAGUGGGGAAUAUUGCACAAUGGGCGCAGGCCUGAUGCAGCCAUGCCGCGUGUGUGAAGAAGGCCAUCGGGUUGUAAAGCACUUUCAGCGAGGAGGCGGUACUAGAAGAAGAAGCACCGGCUAACUCCGUGCCAGCAGCCGCGGUAAUUC